CUCAUAUGUGUUCAUACGCUGUCAUACACAUAUCCCCAUGGCACCCCCGCAUCCAAACACACUGCUUCACAUACAACUCCCUCCACCUAGAGCUCCCCCCCCAUACAGUCUCAGAAAUACUUGUACAUUCUCACACAUGCUUUCACAAACACAUACACACCUUCCUCCCGCAGCUCAGGCAUACUCUCAUUAACAUGCAUACCCCACAGACACACACACAAACACACACACACACACACACACACACACACACACACCAUCUCACAUUACCUGUAUACCUUCACAUAUACAUACGCAGCCACAAACCUGUGCUUGCUUUCUCUUUCACACACAUACACAUACACAACUCAUUCACAUUCAGAAUGUGUUCUGGUGGUAUGGCCAUAGACCUCAUUCACAUUCAUACCUUCAUGGGCACACACUCCUUGGCACACACUCUGACAUAAGUUUUAUUCCCCAGAAUUAAAAAAUGCAUAUAUUAUUGCAACAGUAAAACAUAAAGCAAAAAAGGGGGUCAUCUCUGCAGCACCUCAUCUCCUUAGGCAAUCAAAGGAAUCCUGGGUCUCAUAUGUGGUGCACCUGCCACAUCUGCGUCCCACCCUUGUACAUCCUGCUCUUUGACUGGUGGGCUGGCCAGUCGGGGUUACGUCAGUUAUGCUCUGGCUUCUUUGUGGGCUUGUGUGAUGGGGAGCCCCAGCAGGCACUGAGAGGAGGAGGAGAGUGAGUUAGAUGUUCCCCUUUCAUCCUCCCUUGAAUUCUCAGUGACUCAACCCUGUGCCUCCCCCAGGGGCCACCUCCCCUCUCCUCUCUGGGCAGUUCUCUCCUGGGUGUAGAAACCACUCCUGCCUGUGUCAUGUCCGUUCUGGGGUAGUGACAGCUCUACUGCUGCACUGUCCCUUGUGAUCCCCCACACCUGCCCACUCUUUUAAGGCAAAGCCUCCUCUAACUAUCCUAAUUUGACUACAUCACGUGCUUCCCACUGAGACCCUGAAAGAUACUUCUCAUAGCAACUUAAAUAUUUUUUUCGAGAAUGGGGGUCCUAUAUACACAGUUUUUAAUAUCAUUGACUAUUAUUCAAUUAUAAGCAUUUUCCAACAUUUAAUUUUUUAAUGGUUGUAUAAUAUUCCAUUUCAUAACUGUAGCAUAAUUAAUUUUAGUAUUACCUACCUUUUACCUAAAGAGAGGUCAUCUUUAGUAUUACCUAUCUUUAGUAUUACCAGGUUCUUAUGCUUAGCCCUUUACAUGUAUGCACUUCUUUAAUUUUUCUGAUGUCCUAUGAGGUAGAUACACUGCCCUGUUUUACAGGAGAGGAAACUGGAGAUUAGAAAGGUUGUUUAAGGCCUUGUUUAAGGUCACAAUGAGUGAUCCAAAAUUCAAAGGUAGGUUGAUGGCUUAGGUUCCACCGUAUCAUGUUGCCACCGAGCAAAGGAGAAGAAGGUGGGGGGUGGAUUGACACAUCUAUUUUCUCCUAAACUUUCUCUAUUCCUAUUUCUCAUUUUGCAAAACAAUAUUUGUAAUUCAUAUCAGUGGUACAAAUAGAUGUCAGUUUUGAAGAUUGGGGGGUAGGGGCUGGGGAAGGGGUUGGGAGGGGACUGUGAUCACUGAUGAUUUUCCCAGCUCAAUCCAUUACAUGCCUUCCUAGACUUGUUUAAGAGGUGGACAGAUUAGGAUAACAUUGUGAAUUGACUGAACACAAACUGGUGAUGCAUAAAUAUUGGGGUAUUUGCAGUAUAUGUCAGUAAUUACCAAUAAUUAGAGCUACAUUACCGCAACUCGGCUGCUCAGGCACAUCGGAUCCCUUCAAAAUAGUGGCUGCAAAACAGGACCAUUUAUCAUGUAAGCCAUGGACAUCAUUACUGAGGUGCCUGUUUUAUACCACAGAGGGGUAAGAACGCUUCUACCAUUUAGAGCUGAUUUACCUAUUUCAAUUAACAUAAAUUUCAUCAAUGACAACCCAUUACAACCAUCAUUUUGCUAAUGGUUAAGAACCAAAUUCUACAAAUUAAAAAAUUUUAAUACUUAUUAUUGUAAUUAACAAAACCUACGAUGUUAUAGCACAGUUAUCUUGAUCAAAUGCUUACCAUAUCUGGGGUAUCAAUUCAUGACUAGAGAAAUUGAUUAGUCCUUAAAAAUGUAGCUUAAAUGAAUAUUACAUUGUAUAUUCUGAUAUAUUUUAAAGUGAAAUAGAAACAUCUUGGUAAAUGUUAGGUAGGCUUUGAGGACAUCAUAAUACAUUUUUUCAAAAUAACUAAAUUUUCUGAGCAAAGUUCUAUUUUCUUAACCCAGUGUUUCUCAAUAGGGAUGUUACUGGCAUUCUGAAUGGAAUUAUUUUUUUUAAGUGACCUGAACUUGCUCAUGCAUAAUAAGCCAUUCAGCAUCCCUGAGCUCUGGCCACCAAAUACACAGAGCUCCCCCUCCCCCUGGAAAGUGUGAGCAACAAACUUCAUUCCACGUAAUUCCAGGCCUGGGCGAGGGAGGUUGGGUGAGUAGAAGUACUCAGGGUGAGUAGAAGUAAGAACAGGGUGCCACAGACCUUGAGGGAGGGUGUUGAGAACUACUGUCUUAAUCAACAUUAAUCUUGAAGCAGGUCAUAAAAACAAAGGGGCAGAAUAAGUUAAGAGAACUUAAGAAAUGUAUAAGCAAAAGUGGGCCCACCUUAACCUCUCCAACUGAUAUCAGUAUUUGCAAGCAAUGUCAAUGGCUCUCUGAUGACGUGCCCAGAAAUAACCCCAAUGAGUGUUCCCUCUGAGUUAUAAUCCAGAGCUGUGCUACAGAAUGAGAAGUCUGCCUAAGGCACAUGGUCAGGCUGCCUGAAUUUAGAAGAGCAGUAGUUCAGAAGAAGGGAAAUGUGGAGUGAGGUCAAAAUGCUGGCUGACGCAGGUCUCGGGUUUCCCCUGUAACUUAGCCAAGCAUGGCUUCUGGGACCUAACCUCAUCAGAAUGCCCCCAUGCUAUGUUGAGGCAUUUUGACAGAUGUCACAUCCUUUUUCUUUAGCUCACCCUGUCUCUCUAAUGUCCUGCACUGGUGCCUUCAAUUUUCUCCACUAUGCAUUUAUUACUUAACAUACUAACUUAUAUUUCAAUUAACUAUUAUUUAUUUUUGUAAACUCCCCCAUACUGCAUGUUAUGCAAGGGUCAGGGAGCUUGUCUCUUUUGUUCCUUGAUGUCAUCCUAUUAUUUAGAACUCUGUCUGGCACUCAUUGAAUGCUUCUCUGCAUUGUUAUCCUUACUUGACAAUGAGAAAACUGCAGCUCAGAGUCUCAGAGCCCAGCCAGUGGCAGAGGCUGGAUCAGAGCCCAGAUGAUUCUGUCUUCAAAGUCCUUUUUCUUCUGCUUUCAACAUUCUGCCCCUGGCUCCCCUGCCCCUCUCCCCUCCAUCAUCCUCUCUCUCCUAUAAAUUCAGGUAAUGUUCUUCCAGUUCCCUGAAUAACCAAGACUGGGUUAAUUGUUCUUGUAGUCCUUUUCCUAAGUCUAGUGAUAACAUUUCUGUACCUUGUUGCAAUUGCCUAUUUAUCCAUGUUUUUCUCCAAUCAGUCUAAGUUUCUUGAGGGUAGAGACUGAGUUUUGUUCAUCACUGAAUUUUAAGUACUCUGUACUGGUUCCAGCACAUAAUAGAUGUUCAAUAAGUCUUUGUUGAUUAAUGCAUGAGUAACAUCUACCCACUGAUAUGCUAGGACUCUCUUUUCUUGGUCCAUCUUCUUUCUGGAAGCAACACUGUGGGGGCCGAUAUUGUAUAUGGAAAGGUAAAUAGUUUUGACUAUAAACAUCUGCUCUGUCAUUCAUGAGGCUGGAAUAACAGACAUAUAUGAAAUGGCUGAAAAGUUAAUAGGAUUUGAUAUUUCCCCCCCAAACUCACUACAACUGUAAAGUGUACCCUUCUUUGAGUGACUGAUGCUUUCUUACACAGUAAGAAGUUUUGUUCCCCCAAAUCACAGACUAUCAGAAACUUUGCUGUUUGAAUUUGCAACAGUACGAAUGAAAUGACCUUCUCUUGCCUGGAGUAUAUAAGUCACUUUGACACAGAAAAACAUUCUCAAUUGAUAACCUGGGUAUAGAGUGAAAGACAAAGGGUUUCUGAAUAAAGCACUGCACAUAUGUCUGAACAUUAGUGUUUCCAAGGAAACAGGCCUCUUGGUUGUUUGCAGUGCAGAUGUGACGUUAAUCCCUUCACACAGCUCUGCUUUGCCUUGAGCCCAUCAAAACAUUCAGUUCCAGCCUACACUUAGGACCUAAAAUAACUGCCUUUGCCUUUAUGUAGGGAGACUCCACUGUUUCUUUGGCAUGCAAUCUCCCUCAUUGCAAUGAAUCAACCAACCCAAUUUUAUUGAACUUUAAGUGUGUGCCUGGUGAUCCUAGGCUGUUUGGGCCCUGACAGCCAUACUUCUGUGUUCUAACCCAAUAGUUCUCAAAUUGGCAGUAUGUUAGAAUCAGCAGUGCUGCCUAGACCCAUCCUGAGAAAUUAUGAUUGAGUAAUCUUGGCUCAGUCCUGGGAAUCAGAAAUUUAAAGCCCUCCAGGUGAUUUUGCAGCCAAGGCUAAGAAUCAUCCUUUUGGCUAAAUGGACCUAGAAAAUUCUGGAAGGGUGUUAAAAUUCAGUUUUACAGGAGCAUAGCUCAGCCCUCUAAGUAGAAAUCUUGGCUACAGACCUGAGGACUCUGUAUUCUUAGAGAAUAUAUCAAGUGAUGCUUAUAUACAUGGAAGUUGAAGCACAUUGCUUUUUAUAUUUACUUCCUUCCUAAAGCACUCUCUCAAUUAUGAUUUUUAUUUUUCACAGUUAGCACGGACCCAAGAGUAACACAGGAGGGAAAGCGAAGGAAAUAGAACAGGCUCUGUGCUGUGCUAAAUAUUAAAGUUUUUUGUUUUUCUUUUAAAUAUUAGUUUACAGCCUUCUUUUGAGGCAAUUUAUUUGCGCACAAGGCCAGGCAGGGUGGGAUCAAGAACCGAGGUGGGUAGCUAACUAGGAUAGCUGUGAAGGAGGAACAUGGCCCAGAGGAACCCAAAUACGGAGUUUUCAUAAUGUACCUUGGUGAGAAUAGUCAUGCCCAAAUCACAGAGAGGUGAGAAUAGUCAUGCCCAAAUCACAGAGAGGUGAGAAUAGUCAUGCCCAAAUCACAGAGACAAACUGACUUCCCUGGAAGCUGGUUACUAUACACUUUUAAAUUUGGUCCCAUUAAUGACUACACACCUGAUCAUAGAUUGUGAAUUCAUAUUUUUUAUUUUCUCUCUAAUUUUAAAGAGAAAAAUUAUAUUUCAUUGUAUUGUGUGCUAAAAAUUUUAAAACAUACUUAUUUUAUUAUUUUUAGACUUCAUUUUUGUCAUUUUUAUAUAUUCUGGGGGAUUCAAAAAUUCAAAAUGUUUCAGGCCUUGCUUCGCCUAAAAGAUCGUGUCUGCCCAGACAAGUUGAAACUUAAAAAACAGUUACUGCAAAUGCCUAGAUACCACCACAAGAGGGCCUCUGUGCCUUAGAUAAAAUUAAGGAAACCUUCAAGACUUAAGAGAGAAAUCCCUGUAUGUUGUCGAAGAAUUAUUUUGCUUGAUACUUAAAAAAAAAAGUUUUAUGUUAUUUUAGGGAAGAGGGCAUAACCUCACUUGCGUUCAAUAUAUUGUUAAUGUAAUAAUACAUCAUUUUUGUGGCUAAAUUCUGCUCAAAUAUUCUGAUAUGUCCAAUUUUCAUUUGUUAUAAAGAAACAAAGUGUAUGGAAACUCCUGCAUUUAUAAAGGCCUUUAUGUUACAUUGUAUCUUUUGUUUCUUCAGUCAAAGCAAUAUAAAUAACAGCGUAGUCUAUUACUUAUUACAGGAAAUGAUGUGUGUAACUUCUUUGAAAUUAUCUGGAAAUACAGAUUAAAAAUAUAAACUAUUGAAGGU
rnacentral:lncRNA from 1 species